AGCAAGUGUAUUAUCUUUGAUGGCAUUUUCUAUAUCCCUAAAGCAAGAAGAGGUUCUGCGGACACAAGGGACUUCAUUAUAACAUUACAAAACGUUCAAGAUAAGAUUACUUUUCUACAGGCAGUGAAGGGUAAAACAUAAUAAUUCAAUGAAUGUCAGCACAUUUUCCUGUUAUGUUACAGACUACUGCUGGGCACUCGAUGACUCAGAUUCUUCUCGUGACUGCAAU